UGAGAUAAAAACUUCAAGUGGGUUAGGAAAGGAAGUAGGGGUAUAAGAGGGAUUUGAUCCUUAAGAAAUCUGAUAAUAAUCCCCUAGAACAUUCUAGUGAGGGAUUAAAACACAAUUUCUGCCUCAAACUUGAGGCACAAGUCAGGAAAUGAGGGAUCAUUUAAGAAAAGCUGAAAACUAUGAGGGAUUAAAACACAAUUUCUGCCUCAAACUUGAGGCACAAGUCAAGAAAUGAAGGACCAUUUAGGCAAAGUGAAAAUUUGAAGCAAGGACUAAAAGAUAAAACAAGAGAAAAGCUGAUGCCCUAAGUCUCAUUAUAAAAGAAACUCCCUGACGACACUUUGAAAGAUCCGGAAUUUUCCCUUUGAAUUCUAAAAAUAAAAAAUACAUAUGAGCAUCUUUUUAUAUCGGUGAGAAUUGAUCAGUGCUAUAUUUGAUCCUUUUGAGGUUUAAUUCGCUCAAAAACUCUUUUGAAAGUCCUGGGUCUACUGUUUGAUUGGCUUUUAUUUUCUUAGUUGGUUCCUUACAUUUACUCAUAAGCUCUUGCUUCUUAUACUGAAUUACAGGUACCUUCAAUGUUCCUUAAUGUUUUGAAGCUCAACUAAAAAUGCAUCCUUAGCAUGAAGAUCUAUUUCUAUUCUUAUUUUUGUAUUGAAUCCCCACCCUAUUCUCCCCCUCCUUUAGCGUUAAUACAUUUACCUUGUUAUAAUUAGACAUUUGGACUGUUUCAUUAUGUAAUAACUAAACAUUAGAGACUGCUU
rnacentral:lncRNA from 1 species